UACGGAGGGUGCAAGCGUUGUUCGGAUUCACUGGGUAUAAAGGGUGCGCAGGCGGCUCGGUAAGUCAGGGGUGAAAUAUGACGGCUCAACCGUCAAACUGCCUCUGAAACUGCCUUGCUUGAGUCCGGGAGAGGAAGGUGGAAUUCCUGGUGUAGCGGUGAAAUGCGUAAAUAUCAGGAGGAACACCGGUGGCGAAGGCGGCCUUCUGGCCCGGUACUGACGCUCAUGCACGAAAGCCAGGGGAGCGAACGGG
rnacentral:rRNA from 1 species